GACGAACGCUGGCGGCGUGCUUAACACAUGCAAGUCGAACGCUGAAGCUCAGCUUUUGUUGGGUGGAUGAGUGGCGAACGGGUGAGUAACACGUGAGUAACCUGCCCCCUUCUUUGGGAUAACGCCCGGAAACGGGUGCUAAUACUGGAUAUUCACUGGUCUUCGCCUGGGGGUUGGUGGAAAGGGUUUUUCUGGUGGGGGAUGGGCUCGCGGCCUAUCCGCUUGUUGGUGGGGUGAUGGCCUAACCAUGCUUUGACGGGUAGCCGGCCUGAGAGGGUGACCGGUCACAUUGGGACUGAGAUACGGCCCAGACUCCGACGGGAGGCAGCAGUGGGGAAGAUUGCACAAUGGGCGCAAGCCUGAUGCAGCGACGGCGCGUGAGGGAUGGAGGCCUUCGGGUUGUGAACCUCUUUCGCUCAUGGUCAAGCCGCAACAAUGGUUGUGGUGAGGGUAGUGGGUAAAGAAGCGCCGGCUAACUACGUG
rnacentral:rRNA from 1 species